rnacentral:rRNA from 1 species
AUGGAUCUAAGUGACAACCAGAUUCAGAUCCUCGAGAGGUUGAUCAAGCACCAUUUCCUAUGGCUUAUUUCUCGUGUCAUAUUUUCAUGUGUUUUCAUGGAGUGCCCCAACCUUGAUGAGGCCCAGCGCGCUCAUCUCGGUCGCGAGCUUCACGUGGAGCCCCAGCAUAUCAAAAUCUGGUUUAAGAACCGUCGUGCCCAGAUGAGGAGGGCUAGGAACGAGCAGGUGGACAACCACUUAUCCGACUCGGAGAACGACGAGAUCGACUCGGAGAUAUCGUAUCCACGUGCUCUUGGCCAUGUGAAGAUGUCGGACAGUCCAAAGAAAGGUGCGCCGCAUGCAACGAUCUCCAAUGGCAAGGAGGUCAGCCGCGGUGAACCAAUCAUGUGGCAUGUUGUGCGCGAGUUUGGGGAUCAAUACAAUGGCUGA